AUACAUACCUGGCAGGGGAGAUACCAUCAUCAUGAAGGUGGUUUUCCCAGGGUGAGGCUUAUCCAUUGCCUGGAUGUGCUGAUUCCUGCAAUUUCCCCAAAUUGUGGGAAACUCGACUGUAUAAUUUGUGGUAGUGGGGGACUGCUUUCAUGCUUUCCCCUG
ensembl:snRNA U1 U1 spliceosomal RNA